rnacentral:lncRNA from 10 species
AUGCGCAUGCCCAGGGGCCCUGUGAGCUACAAAGUAGCUGAGCUGGUGCAGUACCUGCUGGUUAAGAACCGGAAGACGGUGGCGAUCAAAAGGGCAGACAUGCUGAAGUAUGUCAUCAAAAGCAGAGCACUCCUAUGUCUUGAUGAGAAAAAUCGAUCCUGCCCUGGUUUGGGGCCUGACAGGCGACCAGGGCACACCAAAGACCCGGCUCCUGAUGAUUACUCUGGACUCCAUCUUCAUGCAGGCCAGCUGUGUCCCCGAGGAGGUGGUCUGGGAGGUGUUGAGGGUGUUGGAGGCACAUUUCGUCUAAAAAGCGUUUCGUCUUUGGGGAGUUCGUGAAGCUCAUCACCAAAGCUAGUGUGCAGCAGAAGUAUCUGGUGCACAAAUAGGUGUCCCACAGUAAUCCCACGCUCUAGGUAUUCUUGUGGGGGCUCUCAAAGGAAACAAGACAGAUGGAAGUCCCGAAGUUUGUGACCAAAGUGAAGGACACCCACCCCGGUUCCUUUCCGUGGCAGUAAAUGAGGCAUUGAGAGAAGAGGAGGAGAUACCCCGUGCUCGAGAUGGCAGCUGCCGUUGGUGACGUGACAAGUGCCAGUGUUAGUGCCAGUUCCAGUUCCAGGGCCUAUGCCAUGGCUGAAGCAAGCAUCAGCACCAGCACCAAUGCAAGUGCCAGUUGCCAGUGCCAGGGCUAGAGCCAUGGCUGGAGCAAUUAUCAGUACCUGGGACAGUGCCAGGGUGGUUGCAAUCUCAGGCUAGCGUCAGGGACUCCUCCUGCCAGCAGUGAAGGCUGAGGCUGAGUCUUCACUUUGUUUUGCUGUGGGUAGUCAAAAGGGCCCCACAGCAGUGGGCGCUGGGGUCCUGACUUUUCGAGAGUCGAAGGGUAGAGUGGGGUUAGGGAGAACCUGCCGCCCAUGGUAUCUGUGUUCCAGUUCUAUUUGUGUUUCUCAGUGAUUUAGCUUUCAAUUUGCAUAUUGCAAAGUUUUGUUUGCCUUAAUUAACUUGUUUUAUAAUGACGAUCAAUUUACAGGAAGUAAACUGGUUAAAACUACAUGAUGGCAGAAUUGUAUCAAAGUUGAAACAAACGCCAUCCUUAAGCAUUUUUUCAAAAUCCUUUGUUCCAUAGACACUUGAUUGAGUACUUAAGUUGAACAUCUAGGUUUAUGAAUGACAUUGGUCAAAUGUUUUAUUUUUCUCUGUUUCGGUUUUAGCAGGAGAGAUUUGCUGUUUCAUAAAAGAAAUUGGGAGACUAUCUCAUUUUAUGCCUGUAACUUAUUAUAGCAUUGGAAUAAGCUGUUCUUUGAAGGUUUGAGAGACUUUACCAGUACAAUCCUUCCCCCCCUCCAAAUAUAAAAAGAUAAAAUAAAAAGCCGGUCAGUGUCUGUUGCACAAAAUUACAACCGCUCUCUGCUUGUAUUUGCCUAGUUCUCCAGAAUGUAGGGAAAAAUAAAAAUUCAAUGAAUUAGACACCUUGCUCAUCGACUCAUUUAUUCAACAUACAUUUACUGACUACCUACUAUAUGUGAGGCACUGUGCCGGGCGCUGGAGAUACAGGAAUGCACCAGACUCAGCCUCUGCCCCACAUCUGAGAGUCUAGAUGGGGCUGUCAUGUAAGUAAAUCAGCCAGAUGUGGCAGUUUGAUGUAUUAAUUGCUGGGAUGAGGAUAAGGACCAGGUGGUAUGGGAGCCUAGCGGUGAGACACUUAACCCUGGGUGGCGGAUGUCUGGGAACAAGGAGGGCUACCCUGUAGUGAGAUGCCAUCUGAGAUCUGAAGCACUGAAGGAGUAGUAAGUGCAGUGUGUCCCCGAGGCAGGGUAUUGUGGGCGUCGGGAGCAAUCCAUGUUCUUCAGUGGAACUGGAAGGUUAGAAUUUCGGGAGACUGGGGAGAGGAUCUGGGGGUGGGGACCUGUACAGGAGCCAUGAUCCUCAGUUGGUGGACUUCAUGGCUGAGAGAUUAAAAAAUAAUAAUAAUAAAAUAAACUGUAGUGGAAAGUGACUCUUUGGAAAGCAGCUGCUCUUGGCUCUUGGAUGAGCCAGAGAAAAGACUCCACCUGUGGCAUGCCUAGAAGCUGUCCUGGACUCUUGUCCCUGUGCAGUUUCCACAGUGCACACAGCAGGUGCUUUAUAUUCAGCAUCCGUAAGGAGCGAUGGGCAAGAGGGUAAGUGUUGCCCUCACCGGAGCUGAUUCCCAGAAGCCACUGAGCAGAUGUUCGCCCCUGAAGCCUGGGAGAGACAGAGCUCAGUGGGUUAUAUGACUACAGUUAGUUGUUGUUGUUUUAAGAAACAAAGGCCUAGAUGUUAGAAUGGAUAAGUUAUCCUGUUUAUUUUAUUUUUUUAUUUUUUUUAUUUUUUUUAUGUUUUUGAGACGGAGUCUCGCUCUGUCACCCAGGCUGGAGUGCAGUGGCCGGAUCUCAGCUCACUGCAAGCUCCGCCUCCCGGGUUCACGCCAUUCUCCUGCCUCAGCCUCCGGAGUAGCUGGGACUACAGGCGCCCGCCACCUCGCCCGGCUAGUUUUUUGUAUUUUUUUAGUAGAGACGGGGUUUCACCGUGUUAGCCAGGAUGGUCUCGAUCUCCUGACCUCGUGAUCCGCCCGUCUCGGCCUCCCAAAGUGCUGGGAUUACAGGCUUGAGCCACCGCGCCCGGCCUAAGUUAUCCUGUUUAUAUCGAGGGAAAACUGUUUGUCGGGGUGAGAGAUAAGUCUAGACUAGCCUGGAGCGAAGCCAGGAAGAGCCUUGAUGGCUCUAACCUGAUUUGGGGGGCCCAGGAAGCUAUGGAGGUUUCCUGAGCAGGGAAGGAUCUGAUGAAGGCCAAACCCUACCAAAAUUACAGUGGCCAGCACCAGCGUGGUUUUCAAAGGACCAGUAUUCUCCAUGCCUUAGAAUGGUCCUGGUGGGUAUAGUGAUCAUAAUAACUAGCCUAAAAUUAUCUUCAGUUCUUAGAGAUUGACGUGCAUGUUUUACAUCCCUGCCCGUUGGCCUUGCACAGCCUUUUUGUGCCCUUUGUCACAAACACCGUGGGAUCCUGGCACCAGUUCUCUCAGGGCCUACCCUAGGAUAUGUAGGAUCCAGAUAAUAUUACGUUGUAACCCCUCACUCGCAUUCCUCUGCUGGCGUCAAAGAAAGGCUGGAG